AAUCUGGUGGUAACUUCAAGAUGGCUAUAAAUUGAAUUUGAGUUUGUUCUCUCACUGGCUUUGAUGAAUAGAAUGUGGUAGAAACAGCGUUGUGUAACUUCAGUGGCUGGGCCUUAAGAAAUCUAUAGUUUCGGCUUUUGCUACUCUUAGAAUGUUUCUUCCUGGAAGUCAGCCACCAUGCAAGAAGCCCAUCUACCUUGAGACCACUAUGCUGUGAGGAGGUCCAAGCAAGCCACAGGGAGCAAGAGUGUGAGAGAAGCAUCAAGGCGUGACACACAAAUGAGGAAAAUCUACCCAGAGGCCCUUGCGGUCUUUCCACUGGCUCCCAUUACAGCAUGAGCCUUUGCCUGAGGAGACAUAGAUCGAAAAACUCUGCCUGUUAGCUUCAUACUACUGGCUUUUAAGGUUGGCAAAUGUUCCCUCCGCAAAAGCAGUGUGUGUGCCAGGCUCACUUCUCUGGAUUCAUGUCUUUUCCUGGAUCUUGGGCCUUAAAAUAGAAGUUUCUCUCUCUGGUGAACUUAAAACAAGCUUUCUUUGCCAAAAGAAGAAUAAAACCUCCCUGUGAAACCUCUCUGUGAAAGAAGACUCCCUCUGCACCUUAAGAACAGUUUCCAAACCUGGCUGAUUAACAAAAUCACUUGAGAAGCUUUUAAAAUGGCCCAAUCCUGGGAUGUAUAUACUCUGGCAGGUGAAGACUUUCUUAGGAUCUGUGACUAUGAAUGACUUUACGGUAAUUUCCAAAUCCUCAGUGUCCACAGGUACUUUUUCCUAAGAAACCACCUGUACUUAGGCAACCCCUUUAACAAAGCCCUCUUCGAAUUAAUAGCCACCUUAGUGGGUACUGAAGCCAAAUCUAGCCAAUCUGAGUAUACAGCCCUCCAGGUUUAAGUGGUUUUAGUAUGUCCCUGUAACUGAAAGAAGGACAAUCAGAAUCAUGAUUUUCUUCAAGGAUUGUGAGAAAAGAUUUGUACCUUCCGCUGUGGUUACUGAGGUCAUGGGAUGUGAGUCUAGCUUUCUGGGUGGCCAUCUUGCCUUCUGCAGGAAGUCUGUCUAAGAGAUGAAGAAAGGAAGAGAGAAAUAGAAUACUGACAAUGUGAUGAAGCCUCUGAAUCUUGUGCUAGACAAUAGUUGUACCCUUGGACUUCAUAGUUAAGUGAGCCAAUACCUUUAUUUCCACUCCUGCUUCAGCUAGUUUGAGUUGGGUUUGUUUCAUUGGCAAACAAUGAACACUCUGUUUCUCCAUUCUAGGAGACUGAUGUGACUAGGCAGGUUGCCAGGACAAGAUCUCAGGCCCCAGGGAAGAAGGCAGAUGCUUAGCUAUGAAACCUGGGUCUGAUAGGAUCAGAAGCACAGUAUUGAACUGAGAGCACAUAAAAUUUAGGCAACAAGCAGACCAACCAUUCCUGUCCUGCACUCAAAGAAGGCAUCAUUAAUCAAUCACAGAAUUCUUUCCUAUGGAGCCAGGACAUGCUAUUGCAGCCUUAUUUUUUCUUAGCAUAGAGCUCCAGGAAACCACUAUCACUGAUUUGGAUCUGUAUGUAUUUCCCAUCCUGAUUUAAUGCCUGAAGACUGAAAUACAUUUAUCUAGGAAAUGGGGUAGGGCAUAGAGGUUAAUAUAGUUUUGUUUAGAAAUGUUUCCUUUUUCCUUUCAAAGUAUUGCCUAGUUACUUUAUUAUUACUAAAGAUGUUCUGAAUGAAUAAUAGUAAAUUACUGAGCUUUCUUUUUAUACAUUUUAAAUAUUUACAUGUAACUGUAAAUUUGAUUCCUGGAUCUAUAUCUUUUCACUGGUACCUUUGUUUCUCUUAGUUGUUCCAGCAUAAUGAUAUUUGCAGUUGGUUCUGAGGAUUGUCAAGAACUGCUAUUUUUGGAGUUGUUACUCUGUCCUUUACAGAGAAAACACAGGAGAUAUUGAGGCUGACACAACAGUAUAUCACUUGGCAGAUUUUCCUCCUGUAGUCACAUAAUGCUUCCUUUUGCUAACCACCUUUUUUUCUGCCCUUAUCAAUAGGUAAUCAAUGAUAAUAGUCAAUUAUAUGGAUUUUCAUUUAACCUUUUUGUUUAAUUCAGUUGUUUCCCCACAACCAAAUAAACAGAUGUCCUACUCAGCUGA